AUUCCGGUGGCCUAGUGGUUAGAGCGUCGACAUCGUUUGUGGAUGGUCGCGGGUUCGAAUCCCGGUUGAGUCAUA